UACGGAGGGGGUUAGCGUUGUUCGGAAUGACUGGGCGUAAAGCGCGCGUAGGCGGAUCAGGAAGUUGGGGGUGAAAUCCCGGGGCUCAACCCCGGAAUGGCCUUCAAAACUCCUGGUCUUGAGUUCGAGAGAGGUGAGUGGAAUUCCGAGUGUAGAGGUGAAAUUCGUAGAUAUUCGGAGGAACACCAGUGGCGAAGGCGGCUCACUGGCUCGACACUGACGCUGAGGUGCGAAAGCGUGGGGAGCAACAGG
rnacentral:rRNA from 1 species